rnacentral:rRNA from 1 species
CCUACGGGAGGCAGCAGUGAGGAAUAUUGGUCAAUGGACGAGAGUCUGAACCAGCCAAGUAGCGUGAAGGAUGACUGCCCUAUGGGUUGUAAACUUCUUUUAUAUGGGAAUAAAAUGUUCCACGUGUGGGAUUUUGUAUGUACCAUAUGAAUAAGGAUCGGCUAACUCCGUGCCAGCAGCCGCGGUAAUACGGAGGAUCCGCGCGUUAUCCGGAUUUAUUGGGUUUAAGGGGAGCGUAGGUGGAUUGUUAAGUCAGUUGUGAAAGUUUGCGGCUCAACCGUAAAAUUGCAGUUGAAACUGGCAGUCUUGAGUACAGUAGAGGUGGGCGGAAUUCGUGGUGUAGCGGUGAAAUGCGUAGAUAUCACGAAGAACUCCGAUUGCGAAGGCAGUUCACUGGACUGCAACUGACACUGAGGCUCGAAAGUGUGGGUAUCAAACAGGAUUAGAUACCCUGGUAGUC